rnacentral:rRNA from 1 species
UACGGAGGGGGCUAGCGUUGUUCGGAAUUACUGGGCGUAAAGCGCACGUAGGCGGCUUUGUAAGUUAGAGGUGAAAGCCCGGGGCUCAACUCCGGAAUUGCCUUUAAGACUGCAUCGCUAGAAUUGUGGAGAGGUAAGUGGAAUUCCGAGUGUAGAGGUGAAAUUCGUAGAGAUCGGCAGGAACACCCAGGGGGAAACCAGUCGACUGGGCAGCACCUGACGCUGAGGUGCGAGAGCGUGGGGAGCGAACCGG